rnacentral:rRNA from 1 species
UGAUGCAGCGACGCCGCGUGAGGGAUGACGGCCUUCGGGUUGUAAACCUCUUCGCCAGGGACGAAGCGCAAGUGACGGUACCUGGAGAAGAAGCACCGGCCAACUACGUGCCAGCAGCCGCGGUAAUACGUAGGGUGCGAGCGUUGUCCGGAAUUACUGGGCGUAAAGAGCUCGUAGGUGGUUUGUCGCGUUGUUCGUGAAAACUCACAGCUUAACUGUGGGCGUGCGGGCGAUACGGGCAGACUGGAGUACUGCAGGGGAGACUGGAAUUCCUGGUGUAGCGGUGGAAUGCGCAGAUAUCAGGAGGAACACCGGUGGCGAAGGCGGGUCUCUGGGCAGUAACUGACGCUGAGGAGCGAAAGCGUGGGGAGCGAACAGGAUUAGAUACCCUGGUAGUCCACGCCGUAAACGGUGGGUACUAGGUGUGGGUUUCCUUCCUUGGGAUCCGUGCCGUAGCUAACGCAUUAAGUACCCCGCCUGGGGAGUACGGCCGCAAGGCUA